CACAAGGCCCAGGUGUCCUGUUCUCAGGCAGUGUGGACUGACCUUGGCUGCUUGCUUCACCUUCUCACUUUAAUAAACAUCAUGAGUGUCCUGCAGACAGAUGAGCUGUGGAUGUGAUAGAGUGACUCCGUGGAGCUCAGAGCUGCUGAUCGAGACUGGCCAGAGCAGGACAGAGGAAUUUAACACAUCACACGACUGAUCUCCCAAUCUGACGUGGACCUGGGUUUCUAGGUGGUUCUGGUUCCUGAAGGUGACCUUCUGCUGGUUUAAUAGGAACUCAGUGGCCCUAAAGGAACUCUGGGAUUUCUCAGGCUUAAUGUGAUUAAUGAGGCACAAAGAAAGAUUAUAACACUGUAAUAAGUGUUUUAUAAAG